GGCUAUAUCACUUUGAAACACCGGUUCUUGUACAAUCACCGAAGUUAAGCAACAUGGAUCUUGGUCAGUACCAAGAUAGGUGACUGCUUGAGAAUACCAAGUGCGGUAAG